rnacentral:rRNA from 1 species
AGUGAACGCUGGCGGUAGGCCUAACACAUGCAAGUCGAACGGCAGCACAGUAAGAGCUUGCUCUUACGGGUGGUGAGUGGCGGACGGGUGAGGAAUACAUCGGAAUCUACUUUUUCGUGGGGGAUAACGUAGGGAAACUUACGCUAAUACCGCAUACGACCUACGGGUGAAAGCAGGGGAUCUUCGGACCUUGCGCGAUUGAAUGAGCCGAUGUCGGAUUAGCUAGUUGGCGGGGUAAAGGCCCACCAAGGCGACGAUCCGUAGCUGGUCUGAGAGGAUGAUCAGCCACACUGGAACUGAGACACGGUCCAGACUCCUACGGGAGGCAGCAGUGGGGAAUAUUGGACAAAGGGCGCAAGCCUGAUCCAGCCAUACCGCGUGGGUGAAGAAGGCCUUCGGGUUGUAAAGCCCUUUUGUUGGGAAAGAAAAGCAGCAGGUUAAUACCCCGCUGUUCCGACGGUACCCAAAGAAUAAGCACCGGCUAACUUCGUG